GAUGAACGCUAGCGACAGGCUUAACACAUGCAAGUCGAGGGGCAGCAUAAUGAUCAGCUUGCUGAUUAUGGUGGCGACCGGCGCACGGGUGAGUAACGCGUAUGCAACCUACCUAUCAGAGGGGGAUAGCCCGGUGAAAGCCGGAUUAAUACCGCAUAAAACAGGGAUCCCGCAUGGGAAUAUUUGUUAAAGAUUAAUUGCUGAUAGAUGGGCAUGCGUUCCAUUAGUUAGUUGGUGUAGGUAACGGCUCACCAAGACAUCGAUGGAUAGGGGUUCUGAGAGGAAGGUCCCCCACACUGGUACUGAGACACGGACCAGACUCCUACGGGAGGCAGCAGUGAGGAAUAUUGGUCAAUGGGCGAGAGCCUGAACCAGCCAAGUCGCGUGAAGGAUGACUGCCCUAUGGGUUGUAAACUUCUUUUAUAGGGGAAUAAAAAGAGGCACGUGUGCUUUAUUGUAUGUACCCUAUGAAUAAGCAUCGGCUAACUCCGUGCCAGCAGCCGCAGUAAAAC
rnacentral:rRNA from 1 species